GACGAACGCUGGCGGCGUGCUUAACACAUGCAAGUCGAACGCUUAAGCUCAGCUUUUGUUGGGUGGAUGAGUGGCGAACGGGUGAGUAACACGUGAGUAACCUGCCUCCUUCUUUGGGAUAACGCCCGGAAACGGGUGCUAAUACUGGAUAUUCACUGGUCUUCGCCUGGGGGUUGGUGGAAAGGGUUUUUCUGGUGGGGGAUGGGCUCGCGGCCUAUCAGCUUGUUGGUGGGGUGAUGGCCUACCAAGGCUUUGACGGAUAGCCGGCCUGAGAGGGUGAGAGGGCAAACGGGAACUGAGACACGGUCCAGACGCCUACGGGAGGCAGCAGUAGGGAAUCGGCCGAAAUGGGAGAAAGCCUGAAGGAGCAACGCAGCGUGAGUGAGGAAGGGAUGCGGAUCGUAAAACUCUGUUAUUAGGGAAGAACAUAUGUGUAAGUAACUGUGCACAUCGUGACGGUACCGAAUCAGAAAGCCACGGCUAACUACGUG
rnacentral:rRNA from 1 species